AUUGAACGCUGGCGGCAGGCCUAACACAUGCAAGUCGAACGAGUGGCGGACGGGUGAGUAAUGUCUGGGAAACUGCCUGAUGGAGGGGGAUAACUACUGGAAAAGGUAGCUAAUACCGACUACAAUCAGAUGUGCCCAGAUGGGAUUAGCGUGUUGGUGGGUUAACGCCUCACCAAGGCGACGAUCCCUAGCUGGUCUGAGAGGAGGACCAUCCACCCGGGAACUGAGACACGGUCCAGGCUCCUACGGUGGGCAGCAUUGGGGAAUAUUGCACAAUGGGCGCAAGCCUGAUGCAGCCAUGCCGCGUGUAUGAAGAAGGCCUUCGGGUUGUAAAGUACUUUCAGCGGGGAGGCGUUACCCGCAGAAGAAGCACCGGCUAACUCCGUGCCAGCAGCCGCGGUAAUUC
rnacentral:rRNA from 1 species